CCCUUAGAUGAUUUGGGCUGCACGCGCGCUACACUGACCCUAACAAUGAGCAACUGUCUGGCCUGAGAUGGCUGGGUAGCCUUUUCAACCCAUGUCAUGAUUGGGCUAGAUUUUUGUAAGUCUUGAUCUCUAACGAGGAAUCCCUAGUAUGCGUGAAUCAUCAAUCCAUGCAGAUUAUGCCCCUGCCCUUUGUACACACCGCCCGUCGCUCCUACCGAUUGAGUGGUCCGGUGAGGCCGUGGGAGGGCUGGACCAUCUGUGUUCCACAGUAAUCUGGCCCAAACCUGGUCAAACCUUAUCACUUAGAGGAAGGAGAAGUCGUAACA
rnacentral:rRNA from 1 species